GAAACCUUGUGGGAACACAGGGGGACCACCCCCUAAGGCUAAAUACUACUUAGUGACCGAUAGCGCAUAGUACUGUGAAGGAAAGGUGAAAAGUACCCUGAAUAAGGGGGUGAAAUAGAACCUGAAACCAUACGCUUACAAUCUGUGGGAGCCAUUAAGUGUGGUGACCGCGUGCCUUUUGCAUAAUGAGCCUACGAGUUACUCCUCUCUGGCAAGGUUAAGACU
rnacentral:rRNA from 1 species